AGAUGGUGUAACUGGGUCUCACAACAAGCACGCGGCAACCGUGACUUCCCUCUUUCUCUUCUUAGCUGCGUUCUCAGCCUUCAUCUACAGCCCAGAUUCUCGGUUCCAGUUACAUGACCAAGCUGGGGACUAUGCAGUGUUGGCCACAUAAGGAGCCAGUCUAUAGCCUUUCUCAGGGCAACUGCUCAGAAUAACAGAUGGAUAACAGGCUAGAACGUCACCAGAACCAAUGUGCUUCUUACCAGGCUCCCUAACUGCACUUGACUCAGGCUCAGCGGCACUGCUCCUAAGGAACACGGCAAGCAAGAAGUCUUCAUGCUGAGAAACAACAAUAAA